rnacentral:tRNA from 1 species
GCCACCGUAGCUCAGUUGGUAGAGCGCAUCCAUGGUAAGGAUGAGGUCUGCGGUUUAAUCCCGCACGGUGGCUCCA